rnacentral:rRNA from 1 species
GACGAACGCUGGCGGCGUGCCUAAUACAUGCAAGUAGGACGCAGUUGCGAACGGGGGAGUAACGCGUAGGUAACUGCAUCUUAGAGGGGGGUAAAUAUUGGAAAAGAUAGAUAAUACAGCCUACUAGCAGAUGGACCUACGUUGUAUUAGCUAGUAGGUUGGGUAAUGGCCUACCUAGGCGACGAUUCAUAGCCGACCUUGGAAGGGGAUCGGCCACACUGGGACUGAGACAAGGGCCAGACUCCUACGGGAGGGAGCAGGAGGGAAUCCUCGGCAAUGGGGGGAACCCUGACCGAGCAACGCCGCGUGAGUGAAGAAGGUUUUCGGGUCGGAAAGCUCUGUUGUUAAGGAAGCGGUACUUAACCAGAAAGGGACGGCUAACUACGUGCCAGCAGCCGCGGUAAUUC